AGUGAACGUUGGCGGUAGGCCUAACACAUGCAAGUCGAACGGCAGCACAGUAAGAGCUUGCUCUUACGGGUGGCGAGUGGCGGACGGGUGAGGAAUACAUCGGAAUCUACUUUUUCGUGGGGGAUAACGUAGGGAAACUUACGCUAAUACCGCAUACGACCUACGGGUGAAAGCAGGGGAUCUUCGGACCUUGCGCGAUUGAAUGAGCCGAUGUGGGAUUAGCUAGUUGGCGGGGUAAAGGCCCACCAAGGCGACGAUCCGUAGCUGGUCUGAGAGGAUGAUCAGCCACACUGGAACUGAGACACGGUCCAGACUCCUACGGGAGGCAGCAGUGGGGAAUAUUGGACAAUGGGCGCAAGCCUGAUCCAGCCAUACCGCGUGGGUGAAGAAGGCCUUCGGGUUGUAAAGCCCUUUUGUUGGGAAAGAAAAGCAGCAGGUUAAUACCCCGCUGUUCUGACGGUACCCAAAGAAUAAGCACCGGCUAACUUCGUG
rnacentral:rRNA from 1 species